UACGUAGGGGGCAAGCGUUGUCCGGAAUCAUUGGGCGUAAAGAGCGUGUAGGCGGCCCGGUAAGUCCGCUGUGAAAGUCAAAGGCUCAACCUUUGAAUGUCAGCGGAUACUGCCGGGCUAGAGUCCGGAAGAGGCGAGUGGAAUUCCUGGUGUAGCGGUGGAAUGCGCAGAUAUCAGGAGGAACACCAACGGCGAAGGCAGCUCGCUAGGACGGUACUGACGCUGAGACGCGAAAGCGUGGGAGCAAACAGG
rnacentral:rRNA from 1 species